rnacentral:rRNA from 1 species
UUGAACGCUGGCGGCAUGCUUUACACAUGCAAGUCGAACGGGGUGAGGGGGCAACCUCUCACUCAGUGGCGAACGGGUGAGUAAUGCAUCGGAACGUGUCCUGUUGUGGGGGAUAACCCAUCGAAAGGUGAGCUAAUACCGCAUGAUCUGGAGACAGCAAAAGCAGGGGACCGGAAACGGCCUUGCGCGAUUGGAGCGGCCGAUGUCCGAUUAGCUAGUUGGCGGGGAAAGGCCCACCAAGGCAACGAUCGGUAGCUGGUCUGAGAGGAUGAUCAGCCACACUGGGACUGAGACACGGCCCAGACUCCUACGGGAGGCAGCAGUGGGGAAUUUGGACAAUGGGGGCAACCCUGAUCCAGCCAUGCCGCGUGAGUGAAGAAGG